UUCGGAGUAAUUUUAAUUUCACCUCUUCAAAUACUGAUAACUGCUAAUGAUAAGAUAUUGGUUUACAUUUUUAGAUAAAGCGUUUUUCAGGGAAAACAGGCACCCAACACAGAGACUACAGUGGCACAAAAAAAGGGGAAUAGAACUUUUCACCAUCAUCAGUCCUUUAUUUCAUUCACUGGAGAACAUCACAACCUUCAGAUGUGUCAUAUCAGGAUAAAUGCUGCUGCAGGGAAAAUUAUAUGAAGGACCCACCCCACUCCAGAUUCACCAAGGAUCCAGCUGAAGCCCCGUUCACACUACAAGCGACACGCAACGUCAAAGCAACACGAUCCCAUUCAUUUGAAUGGAGAGCUGGUGAUUUCUGGUGACAAGAGCGACAGAGGCCGUUGGCGACCGGAUGGGGUGUGUCCAGCGACACGACAAAGUUCAGAAUCCUUCAACUUUAUGCAAAUGAAGAGCGACUUUCGGGAGCGACAGCCAAUA